rnacentral:rRNA from 1 species
GAUGAACGCUAGCGGCAGGCUUAAUACAUGCAAGUCGAGGGGCAGCGGGGGUAGCAAUACUCGCCGGCGACCGGCAAACGGGUGCGGAACACGUACGCAACCUUCCCAAAACAGGUGAAUAGCCCUCCGAAAGGAGGAUUAAUACACCGUAACAUAAUUAAGUGGCAUCACUUGAUUAUUAUAGACAGCAAUGUCGGAUU